rnacentral:rRNA from 1 species
AGAGUUUGAUCCUGGCUCAGAACGAACGCUGGCGGCAGGCCUAAUACAUGCAAGUCGAACGCUGUAGCAAUACAGAGUGGCGCACGGGUGAGUAACGCGUGGGAAUGUACCCCAGAGUUCAGAAUAACCACGGGAAACUGUGGCUAAUACUGGAUAUGCUGAGAAGUGAAAGAUUUAUCGCUUUGGGAUCAGCCCGCGUUGGAUUAGCUAGUUGGUGGGGUAACGGCCUACCAAGGCUCCGAUCCAUAGAUGGUCUGAGAGGAUGAUCAUCCACACUGGGACUGAGACACGGCCCAGACUCCUACGGGAAGCAGCAGUAAGGAAUAUUGGACAAUGGGCGCAAGCCUGAUCCAGCCAUGCCGCGUGAGUGAUGAAGGCCUUCGGGUUGUAAAGCUCUUUUGGCGGGGACGAUAAUGACGGUACCCGCAGAAUAAGCCCCGGCUAACUUCGUGCCAGCAGCCGCGGUAAUACGAAGGGGGCGAGCGUUGUUCGGAAUUACUGGGCGUAAAGCGUGUGUAGGUGGUUCGAUAAGUUUGAUGUGAAAGCCCAGGGCUCAACCUUGGAACUGCAUUGAAUACUAUCAGACUAGAGUGGUGGAGAGGAAAGCAGAAUUCCCAGUGUAGAGGUGAAAUUCGUAGAUAUUGGGAGGAAUACCAAUGGCGCAGGCAGCUUUCUGGACACACACUGACACUGAGACACGACAGCGUGGGGAGCAAACAGGAUUAGAUACCCUGGUAGUCCACGCCGUAAACGAUGUACACUUGCCGUCGGGAUCAUAGAUUUCGGUGGCGUAGCUAACGCGAGAAGUGUACCGCCUGGGGAGUACGGCCGCAAGGUUGAAACUCAAUGGAAUUGACGGGGGCCCGCACAAGCGGUGGAGCAUGUGGUUUAAUUCGACGCAACGCGAAGAACCUUACCAGGCCUUGACAUGUCUAUCGUAUUUCCCAGAGAUGGGAGAGUCAGCUCGGCUGGAUAGAACACAGGUGCUGCAUGGCUGUCGUCAGCUCGUGUCGUGAGAUGUUGGGUUAAGUCCCGCAACGAGCGCAACCCUCCUCAUUAGUUGCCAUCAGGUUAAGCUGGGCACUCUAAUGAUACUGCCGGUGACAAGCCGGAGGAAGGCGGGGAUGACGUCAAGUCCUCAUGGCCCUUACGGCCUGGGCUACACACGUGCUACAAUGGCGGUGACAGUGGGGAGCAAUAUAGCAAUAUGGAGCCAAUCCCAAAAAGCCGUCUCAGUUCGGAUUGCACUCUGCAACUCGAGUGCAUGAAGUUGGAAUCGCUAGUAAUCGUGGAUCAGCAUGCCACGGUGAAUACGUUCCCGGGCCUUGUACACACCGCCCGUCACGCCAUGGAAGUUGGUUCAACCUGAAGCAGGUGCGCUAACCGCAAGGAGGCAGCCUACCACGGUUGGGUCGAUGACUGGGGCGAAGUCGUAACAAGGUA